UCUCCUCUCCUCCCACCUAGAUCACAUAGUAGCGGUGGCGGCGGCCUUCCUAGUGCAAGGCGGAUUUGGUGUGGUGCCACCUCCCCUUACCGGCGGUGAUGGCUUCCUUCCUCUACAUCAGCGACAACGACAUCACCUUUUCUGCAUCAGGCGACAACAUCCUCCCUUUUAUACACGGCGGCGGCGCCCCCCCUACACCAAGUGGCAACGACAACUUCCUUCCCCACAUCAGUGACAACAACAUCGCGUUCCGGCACCUACCGGUAACAUCCUCACUCCUACACAUGGCGACGACAUCCUUUCCUUUACAACUAGUGGCAGCGGUGACUUUCUUCCCCACAUCGGUGGUAGCAACAUCAUCUUUCCCAUACCAGGUGGUGACAUCCCCUCUCCUACACAUGGCAUCAAUGACCCUUUCUCUACACCCAACAAUGGUGUUCCCUUUAGAUGGGGCUCCUCCAUGCACAACCAAUGAGCCUCCUCUUGAUGGCAGAUGAGGGCUUCUACGUGAUGCACAAAAGAUAAGAAUAUGUUUGCAUUUUAUCAACGAUUUGACAAAUAUUUCCUAGUAAAAUUAUAUUUAUCAAUAUGCAUAGUCAUUAAUAUAUGGAUUAAGCUAUACUUAGUCUAGCUCUUUUAGGUUUGGAAAAAAACUCAAUUGCAAAUCAAUUUUGCAUAUGCAUCCUAACUUCUCCUAUGCUUAUGCUUCGAGCAAAAGAGAGUUAUUUCAUCUAGCUUGAAUUUCUACAAUAUUCUUGCAUUUCUCUUAUUUUCAUCCUUUUUACUUGUAUAUAAUUUGUCCUCUUUAACAAAAAAAUAUGUAUACAUAUAUAACCGGGGUAAUCAUGUUUCUUUUAAAAAGGAAAAAUCAACAUAGACUUACCAUUUCUAAUGAUGUACCAACCUGACCACCACAGGAUGAUUGCAGCCUUGCAGACAAAUAAAACUUCAAAUGCAUUGCCCUUCUUGACUUAAUUAAUGAAUUUAGUUGUGUUGCUAAUGAUGCAAAGAACACCCUGUAAAUCCUUCACGAACUUAUUUAAUGACUAAGGGUUUAUAUGAACACAAACCAUAUUAAGUGUGGUCCAUUAGCCAAAACAUGUGCUCCACUAAAAUGGCUUGAAUUUUCUGAUUGAUGACUUUGUAGUUUACACUGAUAGGAUGGACAUUUCUUUUGGUCGCAAUUUUUACUAAACUGGUGUUUGUCAAAUACACAAAAUUUAUUUCUAUAUAACUCGAUAUGUGCACACUAUACAAAGUGAAACAAAUACAUAAUAUCAAGUGUUAUAUAUUUUGAAAUAUCUAGUUCCGAAGUAGGCCAUGUGUUAUUGGUAUGAGGAGAGCACUUGCAAUUCCAAGCCUUAAGAUAAUAAUUCAAUUUGCUCUUAUUCCUCGCUCUAAUUUAGAGAAUUGAUGUGAAUCAAAUGUUUGUAUGCUUUGAAAGUGUUGUGGCUUGAUGUGCAUGUUGGUGUUAUAUAUUAACUAUGACUACAUCAUUAGUUGUUAUAAAAUCGAAGUUAUUCAAGUUUGGAUUAGGGCAAAAAAUAGGCUUGGGUGAGUCAAAAUUUCUCAUUGAUCCAUGCCCAUUUCAUGCAAAUCAAAAUGACAUUACACUGAUAGAUUCACCCGAUGACUUUUCUACAUCAUAUUUAGAUGGUGAAUCAAUUCUAACUACUAAUGAAAAAGUCACAUCUCCAACAAAGGAAGAUGCUAAGUUAGCUGCUGAGAUAGUUGGAAGAUGUAGUGGUAAUGUUGCCUGAGGUGCGCCUUGCUCUCUUGAAGGUUCUUUUCACUGAUCUUAUAUAUGGAGUUUGAAAUUUAUGAGGAUCCAAUAAUUGAUUCAAAGGUAUCAAAAUCUAGACAGUCAAGAAAAAGUGACACUAAUGCUCUAACAAUGGAACUAAAGACUAAUAAACUAAUUACUAAUUACUUGACUUAGCCAAAGUGUUGGCUAGAAGGUAUUAGAAGUUAGCUUAUCAAACUUAAGUUAGUUCUCUUGUUAGAGUAUCAGUGUCCCUUUUUCUUCACCAUAUAGAUUUAGUUCCUUCAAAUCAAUUCUUGGAAUCUAAAAAAUUGCAACUCUAGAUAGAAUGAAAAGAACUUUCAAGAGAGAAAGGUGGACCUCAGACAGGACUAAACCAAUAUAUCUGUCAAGUGUCUAUAUUUUUUUACCUUAGCAGCUUACUGUGUUGAGCUAGUUUAAACUGGAAUAGACAAAUGUGAUUUAUUCAUCAGUAUUUAGACACAAUUCACCAUUUUGAUAUGACAAGGAGACAUUACUUGGUGAAUUCAUCUACGUGGAGUGCAAUUGUAGCAGUGUUGGAUGUUUUUUGAUUCGCAUGAAUUGGCCAUGGGUUUCAAAGAAUUUUUGAGUCGCUCAACUUAGACAUAUUUUUUGUCAUAAUUCAAUCAAUACUAAAUAACUCCAAUUUUACUAUAGUUAAUUACACAAGUUAAAAUGAAACCUGCAUAUCAUGUUGCAACCCAAUCAAUGUUUUCAAAUAUUUGAGGUUCACUAACUAAAUAAAUUUGGGUUAACAUGGAAUACAAGUUGAAUUAUUUUUCAAGGUUUGGGAACUGCUAGUGCUCUUGUUGUAGCAAUAACAUAUGCCCUAUUUUGCAAGUUGAUAUUACUACAAACGUGCCCAUGUUCUUGCACCCUUUGUAAUGGCCAACAUUUUAGAAUCUCCUUAUGGUUAUUGCUUCAUGUCCUCACUACGCGGGUUUGUAUAUCUAUGUGGUGCCAAAGGGUUAAGUUCUUCCAUGGUUGCUAUGUAUUUGUAAUUGGUGCAAUGAAAUUGCCAUUCACAACAAUAUAAACUUUUCUGCAAGGAGCAUGGAUUCCCUUUUGUUGCAUCUAUAUUAAAUGGCUCACCUUUCAUCCAAUCAUGCUCUUACUAUGGCUUUUAUUAUCUUGUGCAUGUCCAUUCCUUCAAGCAAAGGUGACAAAGCAAGCUUAGACUGCAAUGAGUUUUUGGUUGGUGUUCCCAAAUAGCUUACUGUUCAGCUAUUUUUGGUGCACACAACAUAACAUGCAAUCCAGAUUAUAGCAAGAAUAGCUCUCCGGUUUUACAACCAGGAACAUAUCUAGUGCACAUAGGAGUUUGGUGCACAUAUCAAAUUAUCAACAUCCAUCUCAGAUCUAACGUCUCUGAUUGCUCGGUGUAUUUUACUAAUAACAUCUUCCACCGCUUUGGAUGGUGUUCUUUGCAAAAUAUAUAGAUCAAACAGAGAUGCUAGAUCUGAGAAGAGUGAUGAUGAUUUAAUAUGUGAACUAUGUGCACCAAACUCUCAUGUACACUGGGGCGGAGGGCUCCUUGUGGCGAGGUAUGGCCCAAGCCAUACCUUGGCCUAGCCCAUUAGCAUCUAGGUCGAAGACUCGAAGACCUACGCCUAGCAUAUGUUUCACCACUGCUCACAAGGCUGCAGCCAGUUCGCACACCGCAAGGCUGCUUGUCUUCCCUGCGCUCGUCGCUCGUGCGGUCGCCUCACCACUACUAAGCUACGCCGGUCGCUCGCCUCGUGGCCUUGUGGCCCUCGCCCAUGCGCGCGCGGCGUGCUUGCCGCUCGAGUCCACCUCUAUGCGCUGCUCUAUGCGCUGAGCGCCUACGCCGCCGCCGCCACGACUCCAUAGACGACAGACAUGAGUCACGAGGUGAAGGAGGAAGACACUGUUGUGGGUUGUUGCCAGAUUCUCUCUCCAAUCUCUACUCUCCAGUGACCAAUUUCGUACUUUUGUCCCCAAUAUCUAGUGGCAAUUAAUCUGCUACUUUGUAUUGUGCGAGUAUAGGGUAACUGGGUAAGCAUAACCCCCUUUGUUCGGCUUAGAUGUAGUCAAAUAUAAAUUACAAUUAUGUGAACUGAUUAAGUAUUUGUGUUGCAUAGAUUUAAACUGGACAUUUAAUUGUUUGUGCAAUGGUUGGAAAUAAGUAGGGAAAGAAUAAGGCUUCACAAAAAGAUUUGAAGAGCUAUCUUAGCCAAGGUUCCAGUGGCUCAAGUCCAAGUACUCAUGGCAAUAACGUAGUUGCUAUUGUAGAAGAUGUGCAUUUAGAAGAAAAUGUCUUGCCAGCUACAGAAGAAGGUGUGGGGGAUUGAAUGAGAUGUCUUGCCAUCUGUAGAAGAGGAUGAACAAGUUCAAGAAGGUAUAACUGACAUCAACUCGGAUCAUAUUAUUUCUGAUCUGGGACUUCGUAUUCCAAUUGAAAGGUUUUCUGCAAAUAUUAGAGAUGAUGUUAGGAGAGCUUUUAUAGCUAAAGGUCCAACCCAACCAACCGGUCAUAGAUUUCCUCCAUCAAGUGAUAAAAGGAGCUUUCAGAAAAAAGUGGUUUAGUCAAUAUAGUUGGUUGGAAUAUAAUGUGGACAAGAAUAAGGCAUAUUGCUUCUAUUGCUACCUUUUUAAGAAUGAUCGAAUGUACGACAAUUUGGUUA